rnacentral:rRNA from 1 species
AAGUCUGGUGCCAGCAGCCGCGGUAAUUCCAGCUCCACAUAGCGUAUAUUAAAAUUGUUGCGUCUAAAAAGCUCGUAGUUUGAAAACUUGCCUUGGCUUACAACAGGUUCUAAUAAAGGGCCGCCGUAUGUCGGGUGCAAAUAUCGAUGACUGUUUUUGCCGACUUAAUUGUUUGGCUUAUAAGAGUCAUCAAAUAUCACUUUGAUUAAAUUAGAGUGCUUAAAGCAAGUGUGUUACUUGGAUAUAAAUGCAUGGAAUGAUGGAAUAUGUUGUUGUUCUAUUUGUUGGUUUUUGAACGAUGAAAUGAUUGAAAGGAACUGUUGGGGGCAUUCGUAUUGUUGUGAGAGAGGUGAAAUUCUUAGACCACAGCAAGACGAACUACUGCGAAAGCAUUUGCCAAGAAUGUUUUCAUUGAUCAAGAACGAAAGUUAGAGGUUCGAAGGCGAUCAGAUACCGCCCUAGUUCUAACCAU